ensembl:lncRNA
AGAAGAUGAAGCAACCAGCAAAAGAAACUCUAGUCCUUCAGAUGCUGAGUAUUACAAGGAAAAAUUUUUGACUACAAGCAUUUUGUUACCUUGUUUUCACUGAAGUUCAGAGGAAGGUUUUGGAGGAGUUCAUACUUCAAAUAGAAAUUAUUUAGUACAAGAAACAAGACAAAUUAUAUUUUGCCUAAGGAACCUAUGGAGGAGGAAGUGGAAGCAAGAACAGAGAGAGGCAAGCAGACUCGCCACAGUUCAAAAGCCUUUGAUCAUCUGUUCAACAUUCUAUUUAACAACAUUCAACAUAUCAUAGAAUCAUAGAAUGGCCUGGGUUGAAGAGGACAACAGUGAUCAUCUAGUUUCAACCCCCCUGCUUUGUGUAGGCUAGCCAACUGCCCAGAGUCACAUCCAGCCUGGCCUUGAAUGCCUCCAGGGAUGGGGCA